rnacentral:rRNA from 1 species
UACAGAGGUCCCAAGCGUUGUUCGGAUUCAUUGGGCGUAAAGGGGUGCGUAGGUGGCGCCGUAAGUCAGGUGUGAAAUUUCGGAGCUUAACUCCGAAACUGCAUUUGAUACUGCGGUGCUUGAGGACUGGAGAGGAGACUGGAAUUUACGGUGUAGCAGUGAAAUGCGUAGAGAUCGUAAGGAAGACCAGUGGCGAAGGCGGAAUCUCUG